ACCAAAGAAAGGAAUAUUUGCCAGAUCAUCAUAUUUGAAUCUAUAGGCAACGGUCCAAGGCACGUUGGUCCAAAACCAACAGGAAACUAUGCUUUAUUCCAUUCGCGGGUAAGUUGGUUACAUUGCCAACCUCUAUGAAUUAACUUGAGGAAGCUUUGCAUCCGUACUUAUCCUUUGCUUCGUUAAUGCGGAGAUGGCGAGACCUGAAAGAGAGAGAGAAGAAUCGCUUCUGAAGAUCCAAAAGCCUCCAGUUUCCUUUUCCUUAGUUCAUACAGACAUUUUUACAUAUAUGUCUCCUGCAUCUUCUUUCCACCCAAAAAACCAGAUACCCAGAAAGCAAAAUCCGGAAAACCCAUUUCAGAAUUUUGAAGCUCACAGCUAUGAAUGAUAAUAAUCCUGCUCCUCCUCCUCAUCCUCCUCCCCCUCCUCCUAACUACCGUCCCUACUGGUGUUACCAAUGCCAGCAAACAGUCCGAGUUACUGCUUAUGAAGGAGGAAACCCAUCUGGUUUAGUUUGUCCUCGUUGUUUCGGCCAAUUCCUCCAAGAGCAAGACACAGUAAGGCCUAGACUUGUUGUUGAUUUCACAGGAACUGAUAAUGACUCUGGCUCUCGCUUGUUAGAAGCUCUGUCUCUAAUGCUUGACCCCCCAUUCCGACACCAACCAGAUUAUCCUGUUUUUGGUUUAAGAGAUGGAAGGAGAGUACCAGUACCCUUAGCGCUACCGGGGAAUGGAAUUGUAGGCGGCCGUCCUCAUCCUCAUGCUCAGUCAUGGAUUAUCCUCCGGCCCACAAACCACCGUGGUGGUGGAGGUCGUGGUCGGCUUCCCGGAAUCAUUUCCCCUCCAGAAAAUCGUUUGCCUGGUCUCCUGCUUAACUCUGAUCCCAGAGACUAUUUCGUGGGACCUGGGUUGAAUGAGCUAAUUGAAGAGCUUACACAUAAUGACCGACCAGGCCCUGCUCCAGCUCCAGCUUCAGCAAUUGAUGCAUUGCCAACAGUAAAGGUCCAACCACACCAUUUGAAAGAUGAUUCUCUUUGUCCAGUUUGUAAAGAGGAAUUCAAGGUUGGCGAGGAAGCUAGGCAGAUGCCUUGUAACCAUGUCUACCAUUCUGAUUGUAUUGUUCCCUGGUUGAGGAUUCACAAUUCUUGCCCAGUUUGCCGCCAUGAGCUUCAUCUUCAGGAGGCUUCCCCACAUGCUAAUGAACGUAACAUUAAUGUUUUUGAUGAUUCUGAUGAGCGCGAGGAGGGGAGUAAUCAACGCUGCUGGAGGUGGAGUCAUCAUUUAUCCUCUCUAUGGCCUUUCAGAUCACAAAACUUGAGGUAUCGUCCACAUGUUAAUAAUACUACUCAGGAUGACACCAUUCUUGCUACUCAUCGUGGAGGAGCUAACUCAAGGUGGCGCUCCUGGUUUCUUCGCUAGACAUUUAUACAUUACUCUCUGUGAUAAAAGAGUUCACAUAUUCUUUAGGAUUGAUCUGUUCUUUAGGCAGGCAUGAUAUAGUUCUGUUGAUAGCAUUGGCUGCUGUUGUUUCACUUGCUGUAUGCAGAUAGCGAAAGCAUUAAGCAAAGACAAUGAGUUAGGGAUGGAAACCAGUAUCUAAUUCCAAUAUAGAAGUGUUGUGGACCUAUUACUUGAUUCUUUAAUUCUUCAAUAAAGGUUGUUUUAUUGUUUAA